CACGUAGGGGACGAGCGUUGUCCGGAUUCAUUGGGCGUAAAGCGCGCGUAGGCGGCUCGGCAAGUCGGUCGUGAAAUGCCGGGGCUCAACCCCGGGACUGCGUCCGAUACUCCCGAGCUGGAGGCAGGUAGGGGAGAUCGGAAUUCCUGGUGUAGCGGUGAAAUGCGCAGAUAUCAGGAGGAACACCGGUGGCGAAGGCGGUUCUCUGGGCCUUACCUGACGCUGAGGAGCGAAAGCGUGGGGAGCAAACAGG
rnacentral:rRNA from 1 species